UACGGAGGGGAGCUAGCGUUGUUCGGAAUUACUGGGCGUAAAGCGCACGUAGGCGGCUUUGUAAGUUAGAGGUGAAAGCCCGGGGCUCAACCCCGGAAUUGCCUUUAAGACUGCAUCGCUUGAAUCCGGGAGAGGUGAGUGGAAUUCCGAGUGUAGAGGUGAAAUUCGUAGAUAUUCGGAAGAACACCAGUGGCGAAGGCGGCUCACUGGACCGGUAUUGACGCUGAGGUGCGAAAGCGUGGGGAGCAAACAGG
rnacentral:rRNA from 1 species